rnacentral:rRNA from 1 species
CACCGGCGCCACAAGUGGGGAUCAGCAUUAUUGGGCCUAAAGCGUCCGUAGCCUGUCAUGUAAAUCUCAUGUGAAAUUGUUGCGCUCAACGUAACAACGUGCACGAGACACUGCAAGACUUGGAACCGGGAGGAGUAAGAGGUAUUCUUGGGGGAGCGGUAAAAUGUUAUAAUCCCAAGAGGACCACCUGUGGCGAAGGCGUCUUACUAGAACGGCUUCGACGGUGAGGGACGAAAGCUAGGGGAGCAAACCG